GAUGAAAACGUAGCGAAAUGCGAUAAGUAAUGUGAAUUGCAGAAUUCAGUGAAUCAUCGAAUCUUUGAACGCACAUUGCGCCCUUUGGCAUUCCGAAGGGCACACCUGUCCGAGCGCCGUCGCACAACUGAGGCGCAGCCUUGCGUUGGCGGGCGACUUGUGAGUAGCGAGUCGCCGCCCAAACGAGACGGCGCCGCGCCGCGGCCGACGAAGCACGAAAGCGGAAGUCGACGCGGAGGCGGUUGCCUGUAGGAAGACACAGCUUGGCCUCGGAUCAGGUGGGGAUACCCGCUGAACUUAAGCAUAUCAAUAAGCGGAGGA
rnacentral:misc_RNA from 1 species